rnacentral:misc_RNA from 1 species
AUCAAAAUAACUAGCCAAUUCAAUAUUGCAAUUCAAAAUUGCCCUUUCAUUUCAUACUUUUUAAAUGUGGGAUCAGCAGCAUAAAAAGCUGCACCUGGGGAGUUUUGGACUUUGAAGUGAUAAAUUGGAAAUAAUGAUAUCCUAAUUAUACCGCCUCCCUCUCAACUGAAUUGAAAUUGGGAAAAAUAUUUGCAUUCCUAAAUUAAUGUGCUGAUUUGUAUUUCCUACCCAAACUACCAUAUGACACCAAGAAGUGUCAUCCUUAAUGGGACCUCAUGGCUAGGCAAACAGACAACAAAAGACAUUAACAAUCCAAAUCCUAACUGCAAAGCUACAGUCAGUAAAACAGCUUGAUUUGGGAACAAUUACUUUGGAGGUUUUCAUACUUAAUUUCAGUUGCUAAAAAAAGUUAAUUCUAAUAAAACUCUCUAACCCAUUCUGCUAAUAUUUCCAGAUGCAAAAUUUGUUAUUACGAUCACAGCGCAUGAUGCCAAAUGAAGCAUGAAUAUGGCUAAUGCUUCUGAAUGAAACUAAAAAUUAUAGCAAAAAUAAUGCAUAUUUG